AGAGUUUGAUCCUGGCUCAGGACGAACGCUGGCGGCGUGCCUAAUACAUGCAAGUCGAACGAGAGCGACCGGUGCUUGCACUGGUCAAUCUAGUGGCGAACGGGUGAGUAACACGUGGGUAACCUGCCCAUCAGAGGGGGAUAACAUCCGGAAACGGAUGCUAAAACCGCAUAGGUCUUCGAACCGCAUGGUUUGAAGAGGAAAAGAGGCGCAAGCUUCUGCUGAUGGAUGGACCCGCGGUGCAUUAGCUAGUUGGUGAGGUAACGGCUCACCAAGGCCGUGAUGCAUAGCCGACCUGAGAGGGUGAUCGGCCACAUUGGGACUGAGACACGGCCCAAACUCCUACGGGAGGCAGCAGUAGGGAAUCUUCCGCAAUGGACGCAAGUCUGACGGAGCAACGCCGCGUGAGUGAAGAAGGUUUUCGGAUCGUAAAACUCUGUUGUUAGAGAAGAACAAGUGCUAGAGUAACUGUUAGCGCCUUGACGGUAUCUAACCAGAAAGCCACGGCUAACUACGUGCCAGCAGCCGCGGUAAUACGUAGGUGGCAAGCGUUGUCCGGAUUUAUUGGGCGUAAAGCGAGCGCAGGCGGUUCCUUAAGUCUGAUGUGAAAGCCCCCGGCUCAACCGGGGAGGGUCAUUGGAAACUGGGGAACUUGAGUGCAGAAGAGGAGAGUGGAAUUCCAUGUGUAGCGGUGAAAUGCGUAGAUAUAUGGAGGAACACCAGUGGCGAAGGCGACUCUCUGGUCUGUAACUGACGCUGAGGCUCGAAAGCGUGGGUAGCAAACAGGAUUAGAUACCCUGGUAGUCCACGCCGUAAACG
rnacentral:rRNA from 1 species